GGGCGAUUAGCUCAGGUGGAUAGAGCACAGGUCUCCGGAACCUGGCGCGGGGGUUCGAGUCCCUCAUCGCCCG
rnacentral:tRNA from 1 species